GAUGAACGCUGGCGGCGUGCCUAAUACAUGCAAGUCGAGCGAACAGACGAGGAGCUUGCUCCUCUGACGUUAGCGGCGGACGGGUGAGUAACACGUGGAUAACCUACCUAUAAGACUGGGAUAACUUCGGGAAACCGGAGCUAAUACCGGAUAAUAUAUUGAACCGCAUGGUUCAAUAGUGAAAGACGGUUUUGCUGUCACUUAUAGAUGGAUCCGCGCCGCAUUAGCUAGUUGGUAAGGUAACGGCUUACCAAGGCAACGAUGCGUAGCCGACCUGAGAGGGUGAUCGGCCACACUGGAACUGAGACACGGUCCAGACUCCUACGGGAGGCAGCAGUAGGGAAUCUUCCGCAAAGGGCGAAAGCCUGACGGAGCAACGCCGCGUAAGUGAUGAAGGUCUUCGGAUCGUAAAACUCUGUUAUUAGGGAAGAACAAAUGUGUAAGUAACUAUGCACGUCUUGACGGUACCUAAUCAGAAAGCCACGGCUAACUACGUG
rnacentral:rRNA from 1 species